GGGACCAGACCAUUUUGCUCAUAUUACGCAGAUGCCCAUAUUAACCGGUGCCCACAUAAGGCGGAAUCCACUGUACAUAUUUAUAAUUUAUAUAUACUAAUUAAUGUAAUUAUAAAACUAAUAAAUGUAAAUUAUUUUGGUGCCAACUGUGUAACACUACCACGGUUGAUAGUAUAUUUUGUAUUAUUGUGUACACCUUUAGAGAGUAUGAGAUUUUAGUCUAUAUGCAGUAUUACUGUUUCAACUUCUCAGCAAUUUCCCUUCAACAGUAGUAUACUA